UUAAUUGCGUCAGGCAACCUACAGUCCUGAUAGGUAGUUGGACACAGCUACUUGUGGUGGUCUCCUGAUAGCCACCGAAGCCAACACAGAAACACCAUUUCUCGGCGAAAUCAUUGAAGGGUUGGUGGACUAUAAGGUGACCCCAGCCAAAUCCGGUGGAUGGAAAUCCGCAUUCUUCAUCAUUGGGAGUCCGGUGCACAGAGCAUUAUGUAUUAGCGGGGUAGCCUAUCCUAAUGCAAGCAUUAGAUGACUGCUUCCACAUCAAGGACCCUAAAUAAUUCGGGGCGUCAUUUUUGGCGUUGUAAAGUGCCCGAAGAUAUGGGCGGUUGCAAACAUUUUAGUUGGGAAGAUAGCAUUCCCGUUGAUAAAAUGGUGGCGGCGAAGAUUAAAAAGCCUCCUGUUAAUAGAGAUACCCCGACCUUACGUAUCACUAGAGAUACCGUGAAGUUUGACUUGCAGUUUAAGCUUAUGGAAGCUCAAAAAAAAAUUUGACCUUUUGGAGGUCUUGCUAAAAGAAUCCAAAGAAAAACAAAGUUUUUUCAAGGCUAACCUUAGAGACACUCAACACGAGAAAAAUGCUUUGAAAGAAAAACUGAAAUUUUGGAAGAUUAUUUCUGCUAUGUUGAUGUUGUUUAUUAUUUCUAUGUAUUUUGCUUAUUAAGUUUAAUAUUUCUAUGUAUUUUGUUUUGCUAUGUAUUUUCUAUUUAAUUUGUUAUUUUUAUGUACUUUGUUUUUACUAGUUGCACAUUUUCAUUUAUUAUGUAAUCCGCACCCUUUAUAUACCAAUUUAUUUGUUUUUUUUUUUUUUUUUUUUUGAAUUGUGAAUUGUUGAAAUUUUUAUGUAUUAU